rnacentral:rRNA from 1 species
CUCAAGUUGAGCGGUAAGGCCCUUCGGGGUACACGAGCGGCGAACGGGUGAGUAACACGUGGGUGAUCUGCCUCGCACUUCGGGAUAAGCCUGGGAAACUGGGUCUAAUACCGGAUAUGACCUUUCAGUGCAUGCUGUUGGGUGGAAAGAUUUAUCGGUGCGAGAUGGGCCCGCGGCCUAUCAGCUUGUUGGCGGGGUAACGGCCCACCAAGGCGACGACGGGUAGCCGACCUGAGAGGGUGACCGGCCACACUGGGACUGAGACACGGCCCAGACUCCUACGGGAGGCAGCAGUGGGGAAUAUUGCACAAUGGGCGGAAGCCUGAUGCAGCGACGCCGCGUGAGGGAUGACGGCCUUCGGGUUGUAAACCUCUUUCGACAGGGACGAAGCGCAAGUGACGGUACCUGUAGAAGAAGCACCGGCCAACUACGUGCCAGCAGCCGCGGUAAUACGUAGGGUGCGAGCGUUGUCCGGAAUUACUGGGCGUAAAGAGCUUGUAGGCGGUUUGUCGCGUGUCCGUGAAAACUUGGGGCU